ACAAAGACUUAUGUGGCGAAAGACCUGAGAUAAUAAGAACCAGGAGCUAUUCAACUCUAACGGUGAAUCCUUACCACCAAAGAUGACAUUAGAAUUUUUUAUUUUUAUUUUACCGAAUUCAGUUCCCGUGUAACUCAUUUCCAAAGUUAGCAGAAUCGUCAUGUUCCUGUUUUAGGAAUUCAGCGUUCAUUAUAAAGAUGAAAUCUUGAAACUUUUGCUUAUUAAUUAAGUCGGGACAUUUCUGUCGUUGCUCAGAAAAGAUAUGCUCAGGGAAGUUUUCGUAAUCUUCACAUCGAAACACCAGUUAUGACGUCAAGAUGACGUUCAGCGUAGGAGUGAAAUUAAUGCAGGCAAAAUGUGCGGUUUUUAAUGGGGUUCUUUACCUUUGAAAUUUGCAUUAGAGAUAAUUAAACCCAAAUUGAAGGUUUUACAGCUCGGCAGGUGGAUAGAAAUGUUCUGAUGCAAAGGUGUUGCGGUGCUACGAAAUGAACAGGAACAAUGGCGGUGUUAUCGAGGCACGUACUUCAUCUUGGAUGAUAUACAAAUUGUUUAUUACAUUUGAUUAGAAGAGGAUCUGUAUGCAAUGAAGAAAUACCAAUUCUUUGAUAUAAAGGAAACAAUUUUUUAAUCCCUUCGAAUGACGCUCUUGAGAAUCCAUAGCUUGGUCAUGCUGUUUAUAGGUGACGCUAUUACCCCCUUCUCCUCCUUCACCCCAUUCCCCCCUCGGAUUUCCUCAUAACUGCCAUCCCCAAUUCCGUAUGAGAAUAUUCAACUCGCCCAAGUUAGGAUGAGGGUAUGGUAAAUUAGUGGGUUUAUUAGAACUUGUUUCAACUAUUGUUCUCAUAAUGAAUUUCAGGUGUUAUUUCAAAACUUGUUGUCUAUGCAAUAUAGUAAAAACCAAGAGAUAACAAACAGCUUAUAAUCUCUUGACCGAUGAUAAGUUGCUGUUGCUGUGUUUGAUUUAUAAGGAAAAUGGAACUGAACUAAACUAUGAAACUAAUAUAAAGUAAAGGAAUGACGGAGAAAAUAAAUUAUAGUUACCUCCUCUUGGUUCGCUUCUAAAGUAAAUGAGUGUAUAAACAAAGAAAGCAGACGAACAGCGAGUAAUUAAAACAUUGGUUGGGGAAACUCAUUCGCUUCAAGAAAAAUCUAUCCGCGAAUGCUUAUAGUCUGUAUAAAGCUCUGUAAUAAUCCAUGAAACUCUCUCCAGUAAUCACUCAUUCCUUUCCCACUUUUUGUCUGAAGGAAUUGCGAAAUGUAAAAUACAACAGCGUUUAAACUCAACUGCUUAUGUGAAGAUCCAACAGUGAUGUUGUUUAAGGACGAGACCUCAGUUGUCUUGAUUCAUCUUCAAGAGUGUUCAAUUAACUUGUUACCUUGAAUAGGAUGCAUAUAUGUCUAGAAAAGCGUAACAUUUCGGAUCUGUAUGAAGCUGCCUGAACAGGCAUUUCCAAGCACUCAUGAUGGUGUCGCGCGGGUGCACAAUAUUUUUCCCGCCCUGUUUCUAGGGCAAAAGUAACCUCAAAGAGGGAGGAGUGGGACAGUAGAAAGUCCCUGGUUUUUUUUUGUUUUGUUUUGAAUUAAUUACUAUAAAAUUUUGCCGGAGUUAGCGUAUUUUAAAAGGGGCAAUAUCCAUCCAGUUGCGUAGCUCUGAAUCAAGGAUAAAAGAAUAAGAGAACUGGGCACAUGGAGUACAAAGCUGGUCUGAGCCUGAAAUAAAGAAUAGAUCUUGUUUCUUAGAAAGUGGUCCUAGCUUUGAGCUCCCCCCCAGUCCCUCCCACACAGUUUGACCUACUCUAGGUAGCCAUGUAUUACCCCUUUACUCCAUAAAACUAAUAUUUAUGUUCUCCACACAGCUCUCUCUACAUUCCAUGUAGUAUCAACAAGAAGAGUUUGUUUGAAAAUCAGGAGUUUCUGAAUAAAAUUAGCAGUCAUUCCUCUAUCCUCAUGAGCUUUAUAUUUAAUUCAAGGGUGAUCAUGUAAGGAGAAGUUAGAUUCAAGUCAGGGGUAAUAAGGUAAAACUACACAACAUAGCAAUUCAAUCUAGCAUUUAAGUCAGAAUGCUCAUAGAAAGGAUCUGAUCCAAAUGUUCCUGAAUCUUAAAGCUACUAAAAUACCAGUUGUUAUGGCUACACCCUUCACCUUAGCAAGGUUUUGCUGACAAGUCACCACCAUAUUACUCUCAGUUAGGUGCUUAGAGGGUAUCAAGCCAGACUUAAAUGUUGAACCAAGACAUCACAUUGACCUUCUACACUUGGGAGGGACUUUCAAAAACCAACUGAAACGAGACAGAAACAAAGACAAAUUACAUUGUUGCAUAGAGCAAGGUCAAAUAGACUUCCCGCGUAAACAACAACA
rnacentral:lncRNA from 1 species